AGGGAUGUCGGCUCCUAGAACUUAGGGAGGCACAGCUAAAUGGAGAAGGGCUAUCUUUGGAGAACUGCACACUGGAGGUUGCUCACUUAAGCUUGUUGUACUGGAAGGACCCAUCUGCUCUUCUAUUCUCACAUGAUGUGAGAGGUUAUCAGCCUCUCAAAGAAGCAUUUGAUUCAAGAAAGAAAA